rnacentral:rRNA from 1 species
UACACUCCUGCGGGAGGCAGCAGUGGGGAAUUUGGGACAAUGGGCGAAAGCCUGAUCCAGCCAUGCCGCGUGCAGGAUGAAGGCCUUCGGGUUGUAAACUGCUUUGGUACGGAACGAAACGGCCUUUUCUAUUAAAGAGGGCUCAUGACGGUACCGUAAGAAUAAGCACCGGCUAACUACGUGCCAGCAGCCGCGGUAAUACGUAGGGUGCAAGCGUUAAUCGGAAUUACUGGGCGUAAAGCGUGCGCAGGCGGUUGUGUAAGACAGUUGUGAAAUCCCCGGGCUCAACCUGGGAACUGCAUAUGAGACUGCAUAGCUAGAGUACGGUAGAGGGGGAUGGAAUUCCGCGUGUAGCAGUGAAAUGCGUAGAUAUGCGGAGGAACACCGAUGGCGAAGGCAAUCCCCUGGAACUGUACUGACGCUCAUGCACGAAAGCGUGGGGAGCAAACAGGAUUAGAAACCCUUGUAGUCCCA